rnacentral:sRNA from 1 species
UAAGGAAUUGAGAAACAAUGAAUAUCAAAUGUCUGCCUCAAACCCUACUUUUACAAAAGCAAAAUAAAGUGAAAUGAAACCAAAAUGA